rnacentral:rRNA from 1 species
GACGAACGCUGGCGGCGUGCUUAACACAUGCAAGUCGAACGAAGUGGCGAACGGGUGAAUAACGCGUAAUCAACCUGCCCUUAAGAGGGGGACAACAGUUGGAAACGAAUGCUAAUACCGCAAACUGAAGGAGGGGAUUGCGUCGUAUUAGUAAGUUGGAGGGGUAACGGCCCACCAAGGCGAUGAUCAGUAGCCGGUCUGAGAGGAUGAACGGCCACAUUGGGACUGAGACACGGCCCAGACUCCUACGGGAGGCAGCAGGGGGGAAUCUUCCGCAAUGGACGAAAGUCUGACGGAGCAACGCCGCGUGAGUGAUGACGGCCUUCGGGUUGUAAAGCUCUGUUAAUCGGGACGCGGUACCGGAAUAGAAAGCCACGGCUAACUACGUGCCAGCAGCCGCGGUAAUUC